rnacentral:rRNA from 1 species
GAUGAACGCUAGCGGCAGGCCUAAUACAUGCAAGUCAAGGGGCUCUUUCGGGAGCACCGGCGGACGGGUGCGUAACACGUACACAACAUACCUUUAAGCGGGGGAUAGCAUUGGGAAACUGGUGGUAAUACCCCAUAACAUUACGGUGCGGCAUCACACUGUAAUUAAAGUUUCGGCGCUUAAAGAUUGGUGUGCGCCCGAUUAGCUAGUUGGCGGGGUGACGGCCCACCAAGGCUACGAUCGGUAGGGGGUGUGAGAGCAUGACCCCCCACAUGGGUACGUNAGACACGGACCCAACUCCUACGGGAGGCAGCAGUAAGGAAU